rnacentral:rRNA from 1 species
GCUUACGGCCAUACCAGCCUGGGUACGCCCGAUCUCGUCUGAUCUCGGAAGCUAAGCCGGGUCGGGCCUGGUUAGUACUUGGAUGGGAGACCACCUGGGAAUACCAGGUGCUGUAGGCA